rnacentral:rRNA from 1 species
CCUACGGGCGGCAGCAGUGGGGGAUAUUGCACAAUGGGGGGAACCCUGAUGCAGCGACGCCGCGUGGGUGAAGGAGGGUUUCGGCGCGUAAAGCCCUAUCGGCAGGGAAGAAGAUGACGGUACCUGGCCAAGAAGCCCCGGCUAACUCCGUGCCAGCAGCCGCGGUAAGACGUAGGGGGCAAGCGUUAUCCGGAUUUACUGGGGGUAAAGGGGGCGCAGACGGCAGUGCAAGGCAGGAGGGAAAGCCCGGGGCCCAACCCCGGGACUGCUCUUGAAACUGCAUGGCUGGAGUACAGGAGGGGCAGGCGGAAUUCCUAGUGUAGCGGUGCAAUGCGUAGAUAUUAGGAGGAACCCCGGUGGCGAAGGCGGCCUGCUGGACUGUGACUGACGUUGAGGCCCGAAAGCGUGGGGAGCAAACAGGAUUAGAUACCCUUGUAGUC